CGUCAUCGCACCUACCUGGCGAGGUUGUGUGAGGAGUCAAUGAACUGGUUCAUGGAAAGUGCUCUGCCCGGCUGGCUCUCAUAGGCUCUUGCUUACAUGCUCUGAUGACACCAGCUGCCAGGUUGUGCUUCCCUGCAGAGAGGCUCAGAUGGCAAGGAACUGAGGAAAGCUACCAGCCAACAGCCAGUGAGAAACUGGGGACCUCAGUCCAAUAACCCACAAGGAACUGAAUCCUGACAACAACUCUGACCAAUUUGGGAGGAACCCAAAAGGACCCCAAGGGGAAGAGGAUCUUGGCUAAUUUUCACUCAGAGCAUCCCCUUUGAUGCCAACAAGCGUUGGAGAAUCUUAUCUUUGGUCCUCCCCAAGUCUUGUCUCCUAGUAUCCUGCUGACUGAACGAGGUGGGAGGGCAGUGUCCCUGUAUCUCUAUUGCCCUAGGAUGUCCUUGAUCUCUGUAGAUGGGAGAAGGAGCUCAGUAACCUUUUAUGAGGCACCACUGACUCAGCCCUGAGGCAGGCACUGGGACAGAGUUGGCCACAGCUCAGAGGGUGACCUCCAGAGCCCGCCCGCUAGUGGGAGAAGAAGACAAGUAAACGAGCAUCCACAAAACUCUGUGAUGCGCAUGAUGAGAGAAGGACACCCAGGAUAUUUUGGGAGCUAGGAAGAAAGCAUAAUUCUUUCCUGAAGGCAGGGAAGGCUUCACAAAAGAUGAAAGUUUAUUGGGCAUCCAUGAAAGAGGAGAAGCCAUUCCAAUAAAGGAAAUGACAUGUGCAGGGCCACAGAGGUCUGACAGAGUGCAGCACACUUGGGGAACCACACGCUGUUUGGUAGAGAUGGCACUCCAGUGAGAGGAGACAGGACCACUGAAGGAUUGUUAUUUUUGUUUGUUUUUGUUCUGACAUGAAAAGAUGUCCAAAAUAGGUUAUCAAAUGAAUAAAACAAGCCACAUGAGAGUGUGUAUGGUGUGAUCCCUUUGUAUUUUGUACAUUAAUAUGUGCUUGCUUGCAUGUGAAUGUCUAGAAACUUGUCGGAAGAGAACACAUAAAACCGACAAUUGAUACUUUGAAGAGAUGGACAGGACUGGAAAGGAGAGGAGAGAAGAGAAAGGCAGUGAGGAAGAGGACUGCUCUCCCUUUUUAUCUCAUGCCACUUUGCACUGUUUGCAUCUGCAUUAUUUUACAAUGUUGAUAUGUUAAAAUAAUUUAAUGAAGGAAGUGAUAUAACCA